GCCUUCGUGGUGUAAAAGGUAGCACACUCGGCGGGUAUUCGAGAGACCCACGUUCGAGUCCCGGCGAGGGCA
rnacentral:tRNA from 1 species